CCCUUAGAUGUCCUGGGCCGCACGCGCGCUACACUGAACGGAUCAGCGCGUUUUCCCUUCCCGAGAGGGACGGGUAACCUGCUGAACCCCGUUCGUGGUAGGGAUCGGGGCUUGCAAUUAUUCCCCGUGAACCAGGGAUGCCCAGUAAGUGCAAGUCAUAAGCUUGCGUUGAUUACGUCCCUGCCCUUUGUACACACCGCCCGUCGCUACUACCGAUUGAACGUUUUAGUGAGGUACUCGGACUGAGCCUCAGAAGAUUCACGUCUUUUGUGCUGCUCGGGAAGAUUCCCAAACUUGAGCGUUUAGAGGAAGUAAAAGUCGUAACA
rnacentral:rRNA from 1 species